rnacentral:rRNA from 1 species
GACGAACGCUGGCGGCGUGCCUAAUACAUGCAAGUCGAACGCUGAAGCUUGGUGCUUGCCCCGAGCGGAUGAGUUGCGAACGGGUGAGUAACGCGUAGGUAACCUGCCUGGUAGCGGGGGAUAACUAUUGGAAACGAUAGCUAAUACCGCAUAAGAGUAGAUGUUGCAUGACAUUUGCUUAAAAGGUGCAAUUGCAUCACUACCAGAUGGACCUGCGUUGUAUUAGCUAGUUGGUGAGGUAACGGCUCACCAAGGCAACGAUACAUAGCCGACCUGAGAGGGUGAUCGGCCACACUGGGACUGAGACACGGCCCAGACUCCUACGGGAGGCAGCAGUAGGGAAUCUUCGGCAAUGGACGGAAGUCUGACCGAGCAACGCCGCGUGAGUGAAGAAGGGUGUCGGAUCGUAAAGCUCUGUUGUAAGAGAAGAACGAGUGUGAGAGUGGAAAGUUCACACUGUGACGGUAUCUUACCAGAAAGGGACGGCUAACUACGUG